rnacentral:tRNA from 1 species
GGAGAGUUGUCCGAGUGGUUUAAGGUGCGGCUCUCGAAAAGCCGUGACGGUUUAUCCCGUCCGAGGGUUCGAAUCCCUUGCUCUCCG